UACGAAGGGGGCUAGCGUUGCUCGGAAUUACUGGGCGUAAAGCGCACGUAGGCGGUCUUUUAAGUCAGGGGUGAAAUCCCGAGGCUCAACCUCGGAACUGCCUUUGAUACUGGAGAUCUUGAGUCCGGAAGAGGUAAGUGGAACUGCGAGUGUAGAGGUGAAAUUCGUAGAUAUUCGCAAGAACACCAGUGGCGAAGGCGGCUUACUGGUCCGGAACUGACGCUGAGGUGCGAAAGCGUGGGGAGCAAACAGG
rnacentral:rRNA from 1 species